rnacentral:lncRNA from 1 species
AAUGACUUGCUCAAUGUCAUUGAACGUGUGGUGGCCGAGUCAAAUUUAAAGGGAAAGCUGCUGCUGACGGGGUCUGUCCUCCAACCAGCAGCCUGGGUCGGUGAGUAUCUCUGUAUGGCAUGUUUUUCUCUUGGCUACCUUCAAAGCUCCUACCCAGUGUUUUCUUAUUCAAUUACUUCUCGAGUAAUCUGUUCCUACAGACUUGGCCUCACUAUUGCCAGCAUUUACAACCUCCUUCAUGCAUUUCCUUAAAAAUGUGCAAGCUCUGCCAUUUGGCAAGCUCUGUCAGAGGUAGGAGACAUCUCUGUUGUGUCAGUCUCCACUCCCACCUCACUACUCGUUUUUCAGAAUGAAACGAAAGUGUCCCUGAGCAUCCCAGAAACCAUAGGCUGACGAAGCCAUUUCACCUCUAGAGUUGAUUUCCACUUGCUCAUUGCCAUGGCCCACUGAGGGCUCAGUAGCAUUCCGUGGAGACUAGGAUUUCACUGCAGCCUCUUACUUGUGCAUUCCAGGCGUCUGGCCUGGAAAACACAGUGGCAAGAGCUGGUGGGACACCAGGGGGUAGCAGUGGAAGGGGUGGGUUUUCACACAGGGAAAGUCAAAGGACUUGAGUUCCAUUCUGUGGUGGACAUUGUCUAGGGUAUCAGACAAAUCAUGUACCUUGUCUUUGCUUUAGUUUCUUCUUUGGUAAAAUAAAGAGGAUACUAAUUUUAAUUUGCUUGCAUGGUCAGUAAGUGCAAAAUAUUUUCUGAAGCUUUGUAUGUCCAGAUAAGGCCUGGAGUGUGAUUAGAAGGAGUUUAAGCAGGUGUGCUCUGGCUGUGCCCCAUAAUAACCCAGGGACCUUGGCCACACUACCUAAUAUCACCAAUCCCAGUCCCUUCAACUAGAACAAGGGAAUAAUAAUUAGUACCUACCUCACAGGGUUGGGUGAGGUUUAAAUGAGUCAAUGUUUAUAAAACACUUAGAGUCGUGUCUGGCAUUUCUUUAUUGCUUAGUGCAGUAAUAGCAGAGCAAAAUUAAACUAGCUCAGAUGAAUGGAGUUAUGGGUCUAGUCUAUUCAUUAACUGAUAGCACUUGACAAGCUGAUCUUAAGUUUUAUACAGAAGAGCAAAGGACAAAGGAUAAAGAGAGGCAGUUUUGAAAAAAAAAAAAGUAGGAAACUAGCCUUGCCCGAUAUCAAGACUUCUUAGAGUGUUACAGCAGUGAUGAGAGGUGGUACCAGUGCAGGAAUAGAAAAAUAGACCCAAAGACUGGAGGACAACAACUAAAAUAUCCCAUCCUUAAGUGAAAGUUUGGUAUGACAGAGCAGAAGAGGGAUGGACCAUUGGUUAUCCAGACGGAGAAGAAUAAAAACACAUCACACACAAAAAUCAAUUGUCAGUGCAUUAAAAAGCUCUACAUGAAAGCAAAAAUGUAAUACAUUUAUAAGGAAAUAUAGGAAAGCAUUUCUGAUUUAAGGGCUAAGGAAUGAUUCCUUAGACAAUGUAUAAAGGGAAAAACCAUAAUGGAAAGUGGUGGCAUAUUUGACUACACUAACAUUGAAUUUUAAACUGACUUUUUUUGAAGAAUGUCUCCAUAAAUAAAGAUUAAGAGAGACACUGGGAGGGAAUAUUGGAAACCGACCAUUGAUAAAAGCCUUGUAUCCAGAGUUUAAAAAAUCACUACAACUCAGCAAGAAAAAAAUAGAAAAUAGGCAAAACAUAAAACAAUAGUCAUUAAUUACCAAUAAACACAUAAGAGAUGCUAAAGGUCCCCAGUCACUGACAAACUACAAAUUAAAACAACCAUGAGAUACCAUUACUCACUCAUCAUGUUGACCAAAAUUUUAAGUCUGAUCAAAACAAGUAUAAGCAAGGAUAAUAGACACAAAUCCUCCCAUACUACUUUGUACCUAGUUAUGACCACUUUCAGUCAGAUUCCACUUCUAGGCAUAUAACCUAAUGAAAGUGUCACAUCAGCAUGGGAGAUUUAUAGAAGAAUGUUGAUUGCAACACUGUUAGUACUCGGGUAAAAAAGGGGAAAUGACCUAAAUGAUCAUCAGGAAUGGACAAAUAAUUUAUUGUAUAGCCAUACAAUGGAACAUCAUACAGAAAUUUAAAUGAAUGGACUAGAAUUACAUGUAUUAACACGGAUAAAUCCCCAAAACAUAAUGUUGAAUGACAAAAAGCAAAUGACAGAAGAAUAGAGACGAUAGGAUGCCAUUUGUGUAAAACUUAAAAGCAUAUAAAACAGGGCGCCUGGGUGGCUCAGUGGAUUCAGUGUCUGACUCUUGAUUUCAGUUCGGGUCAUGGUCUCAUGGUUCGCGAGAUGGAGCCCCUGUCCGGCUCUGCACUGUCAGCUUGGGAUUCUCUCUCUCUCCCUCUCUCUCCACUCCUCCUGUGCUCGCUCCCUCUUUCUCUCUCCCUCAAAAUUGAAUAUGUAAACAUUUACAGAAAGCAUGUAAAACAAAGAUCAGAGAAAGACAAAUAUCAUAUGACUUCACUCAUAUGAGGACUUGAAGACACAGAACAGAUGAACAUAAGGGAAGGGAAGCAAAAAUAGUAUAAAAACCGGGAGGGGGACAAAACAUAAGAGACUCUUAAAUAUGGAGAACAAACGGAGGGUUACCGGAGGGGUUGUAGGAGGUGGAAUGGGCUAAAUGGGUAAGGGGCUCCUGAAAUCAUUGUUGCACUGUAUGCUAACUAAUUUGGAUGUAAAUUAAAAAAGUAAAACAAAUUGAACAAAGAUAGACACAUAAGACACCUACAUGAGGAGUAGUAUAGAACAUGAAGGAGGGUGACAAACAUCAGAUUUUGGAUGAUGGCCACCUGUAGGAUGGCUUAGAGAAGGGGUGCACAGGAGACUUCAAGUAUAGUUGUAAUCUUUUAUUAUUUAAAAAAAUAGUAAAUAGGUCAAAAUGUUAAGGUUUGAUAAAGUUAGGUGGUGGGCACCCAAGUGUUCGUUAUGUUGUUUUCUCCUACUUUGUCCCCCUUUACAGGAUUUUGUAGUCCAUUUUUAAAAAUUCUAAAUUGGCUCCUACUUCCAACACAAAGGAAGAUGAAGCAUAACUGUUUGCCAUUAAAGUGCUAAUAUAUGACCUGCCACCUCCUUCCAACAGCCCAGGACAAGUGCCCCUAGCACCUGCCACAGUGCAUGGCUCCAGAAGGGCUUGCAGUAAAUGAAGAUGGAAAAAAAAUGAAUGGAUGAAAGGGCCUAUCCUUAGAAAUGGAGGCCUGGUCAUAUGUUCACUAUGCCUUUUUUGGCCAUUAAAUCACACUCCAAGAGUCAUUUUCCUCCCAUCCAUCUCACUCAGUCUGAGUUGCCAUCUAGUAUAAUAAUUCGGGGGGAUUACCUUUAGGGACCAUUGCUUGCAAUUCAGUCCUGGCUGUGCUCUGAAUUCAUUAGUGUUUUUGCAGCAUUGUGCAUUACUCAGAAGAAUGAUCCUCUCCCAGAUUAGGGCAUUGCUGUCUCUGUCAUAUUCUAGUAAUAAUAAUAACCAAAAGCAAACGUGAGGAAGUAAAAUCUCCAGGGAGGCCUUUCUCUUCAAUUAAGGAGUUCUAAUGCAUCACAGUCCCACCAUACAUGUGACUCAGUUGUCCUUUAUAAAUGCAGGGGGUGUUUCCUUUUGUGGCUCUGCUGCUGUUUCUCCUUCAUGUCUCUCUCCCAGUGCUGCUGCUUCUCUCUGUACAUGCAGACAAACAUAUGUGAAAUAGAUGACAUGGGGAUUUAUACCUGUUUAUUGACCUAGCCAGCUUGCACUUCUAAGAUUCUUUUGGUGUCAUCCUAGGAAAUAAAAUAUGGUAGCUUAAUUGGUUGGUAAUGGUGCUAAUAAAUGUAGAGUCUUAAGUUCUAUCCCCUAAAAGCCAGAAUGAUUUUCUUUGUUCAGCAAGAUGCAGAGGGCAUCUCAAAUCUUGGCACAUGUAUCCUCGUUUAUAUAUGGCAGAUUGGACAAGGCAGGGUGGCAAGAAUCAUGUCAAAUGUGCCACUACCAUCGGAACUCAAAAUUGUCCCCACCCUGGUGAGUCUGUGGAUUCCUUUUAUGAGGAAAGGAGAGUAUCUUAGUGGUUAGAAAGGGUUAGUAAUGUCCCAACUCACCUACAAACGUGAAACUGAGGAAGUGGUCUGGGCUGAGAUUCCCACCUUUUACUGCUGAAGAGUAGAAAAUAGAUUUGGUCAUUCUUACUUGUGAUGUUUCUGAAUCUGAGUAUUCAAAGAGAAAUAAAAGGUGACAAACUCAAGCAAAGAGAAAUUUGGGCUGAAUCUCUGGGGAAAGAAAUCACAGUGAAAUCCAUUAGACUGUGUAAUAGUUUCCCAAGGGGAAUGACAUAAACCUCAUAGUUUUGCAGUCGUUUAAAUGUAGACCAAUCCAUGCAUUUCUGAGAGACCCCAGGGAACAAUCUUGCACUGAGGAGAGAAUAGGGAAGGUGAUAGGCCAGAUGACCUAAUAGUUCUUUUUCAACUUAAUUUCUAGGAUUGUGGGAUUCUAAUUAAAAUGAACUAUAUUGCCUAUUAUGAACCCAUUACAUUAAUAUUCGGUAAGGUCUCCAGGCAAGCCAAGGGAAUUUCAGCUUUUUCUUAUUUCUGGAGAGCUAGAGUCCACGAGCCACCUUAACCACGUUGUUGGUGCCCAUGCACUGACUUCUCUACCAAUAAUGGUCAACUUAAAGUCUUUAGAAGAAGUUAAAGCACAUACUAUGAAUUAACAUUUUAUUCAAAGCAAUCCAAUGGUAUGAAAAGGAUGUCUCGAUAUGUGUCACGACAAUAAAUAUUGUGAGCCGGCUCUGUGAUGGAAGCAAUUGCCACCAAGCAACAUCUGGGAUGAAAAUCUGCUUUCUCACAUCCAGCCCUGACUCUUCCUUUCAGUUUCCACCAAAGCUUGAAAAGGAAUGUUGAUCACUGGAGAAAUCAUAGCAUUUCUGGGUCAGAGGUCCUGCCAUCAUGGAACUACCCAGUUUUCCACUGACAUUAGCCUCAUUUCCUUUACUGUCCUCCAGAAAUGGACUCCAGUGAGGAAACUCUGGCAAGGCCAUUAACAGGCUGUCCAGGGCUGGUCUGAGAACACCAGCCAAGGGACAGAGGGCAUUGUAGCCUCCAAAGUAGCAAUAGUAGGGCAAAUGGAAGAGAGUGGUGGUUCAGUUGCCCCAUGUGGUGUUUUAGGUAAAUAUAGCUGGUGCAUAAAAGAAAGAGUGGUAAGAAAAGAAAAAAAAAAAGGAGGCGUGCCUGGGUGGCUCAGUCAGUUAAGCAACCAACUCUUGACUUCGGCUUAGGUCAUGAUCUCACAGUUUGUGAGUUCAAGCCCCACGUGGGGCUCUGUGCUGACAGCAUAAAAUCUGCUGGGGAUUCUGUCUCCUUCUCUCUCUGCCCCUCCCCUUCCUGCUCUCUAUUUCUCUCCCUCAAAAUAAAUAAAAAUAAACUUAAAAAAAUUUUUUUAAGUAAUAAAAUAUUUCCUAUGAUUUAAAAAAAAGAGUGGUAACAUAUAGCUAGUAAACUAUUUUAUCAGACUUUCUUGAGGAUCCCCAAAAGGUUCUUGAUGGUCCAUAGAACUCUACCAACAGGAAGUAGACAUUGGCAUGCAUCAGAGAAUAUUAAGGUCUACCUAUUUUAAAUUAUAAGCUGGUCUCUAAUUAGCCUGCAGGGAGGUUUUGUUUUUUUUUUUAAUGUUUUAUUUCUUGUUGAGAGACAGAGAGAGAGAGAGAGACAGGGCACGAGUGGGGGAGGGACAGAGAGAGAGGGAGACACAGAAUCCAAAGCAGGCUUCAGGCUCUGAGCUGUCAGCACAGAGCCCGACGUAGGGCUCAAACUCACAAACUGUGAGAUCAUGACCUGAGCCGAAGUCGGAUGCUUAGCCGACUGAGCCACCCAGGUGCCCUGCCUGUAGGGAGUUUCUAUGGAAAUUGAAGAUAUCACUCUUCAAUAGUACAGGAGUAAAGCGUCAGGUAGGGAGAAGAACUGGAAGGUCCCUAUUCCUUCAAGAGUCAGUUGGUGUCACCUCACUAUGACAUUGUCCCUUACUCCUUUGGGCAGAUUCCAGGAGCUCUCACUUCCAUUGUAAUAUUUCUGGUAUGUAGUUAACAGUGUACACAUCCAUAUCCUACAGAGAGGGGAGAGACUGCAUCAUUUUAUCUAUUUCCGCCAGAGGAUAGCUCAGUCCCGACAUAGAAGGCUUAAUAAUUAAUAAAAACAUGUUAGGUUGUUAUAGUGACAUCUUAGAACCUUGAUUUCUUUAUCUAUAAAGUAGAUUAGUAAUAUUAACUCAGAUGGCUGUUGUGAGGACUAAAAUGCCAGAACAAAGUCCUUAGGACAGUGCCCAGCACUUAAAUAACAUGCAGUUCUUUCUCCCACAUUUUUGGUAUGGGAGGGUUUUUAUUUCUGGUUCUGAUCAACUACCCAGGCCCAAAGUGCUUCUUAAAGCAGCAAAUAAGGUUGCGGUUUAAUUAUGUGUCCAGGUUAGGUCAGUGUUUUGUACCCUAAAAGCGUGAUAGAGGUUGUACCAGCUCCAGCACAAAUUUUGGGGCAUUCAGCCUUUUUCUUAUCACCCGCUUGGCCAGAUGUACACCAUGAAUAAGGGAGAUUUCUGAGAUGGUCAUACUUGAUUCAAUUUCAGACACCCAUGAAAUAAACUUGGAGAAUGAGUGAGUAACUCAUCAGUGAUGAUAACAGUGGAGAUCGGAAGGGGGCCCUGUUUUUGUUUGUGGAUCAUCAGAAUUUCACCCUUGCUGUCCCAGAAUACCUUCAGGCCUUCCCUGAGAACUCCCCUAGAGGUAUCUUCACUCUUUUUUCUUGCUUUAUUUCGACAAAACAGGAAGCAUCUAGAGGGUGACUUGUGAAGGAGGUUUGUGCGGUCAAAACACCCUGGAGAGCAGUGGUGGGUCUGCGGAGCCAUCCUGGGACUGGUCGGCAGGAAAGAGCACACAGGAUGGCCCACUUCCAACCAAAGCCGGGAUUCCACUUUCCCACCAGCUCUGAAUUCACCUCUUGCAGGUGCACUGGCGUCACCUCGCAGCCUGCAGGUCGGUCCUCUCAGAUGACCUCUGAUUGCUGCACUGGGCACUGGACCUACAAGAAAGAAGCAAAGGAGGCCAAGAAGAGGAAGAGGCGGGUGCUGCCAGCACCCAGUUGCCGCCGAAGGCACUUGCUCUGUUGUGAGCCCAGUACCGGGCGAUGCAUCGGUCCCUUCCG